CUCUCGCCUAGGGAAGAUAUACCACCACUCUUUAUGAUCCCACCAUCCAACGAUAUGGCUCCAUCAGCUAUAAGAGGUAGCGCCUGCAGCAUGUCAGCCCUUGUUUUGUAUACUUGCAAAUGUGAGAAGAGUCUAUAGAAGAGGGUCUCUCUCAGGCCAUGACCAGUGCUUGUAACACAAUAUAAGUUCGCAGUGUCAAUAUUGAUCAUAUUGACAGCAAAACCAAGAAAACCAGGAGGAGUUUCCUCAUUGAGGUAUCUUGGCUUCUUUAUGUCAAGCCUCCUCUGAGGGUCAUCAGCAAUAAAUGUGCCAGCGUAUGGUCUAAAACGAUAAUUCAAAAAGGAAAAAGAAAAGAGAGUAAGGAAGUGCUAAAGAAUAUGAGUAGCAUUUGCAAGAAGAGAUCAUCAUAAUAUCAAACCUUAAGUUCUCAAGACAGAUUACGAGAUAUCGAUCAUCCAAAGGUUUCCCAAUUGAAGCUCCAAGUCCAUGAAGACCAGAACUUUUAUUUAUAAGACCUUCCUUAUCAUAUGUUUCCAGUGCUUUAUGUCCAUCACGCGUCUUGCAAACAACUCCUAACAUGGUUUCGAGCCCAAGAUAAUCCGAGAGAGUUCUGAAUUUCAAGAUUAUGAUACAAAUGUCAGUCAUAAUACAGUGAACUUCCAUUAUCUGCCUACUUCUUUGGUAAAGAUAUGGCACCUGGGCCUAACUCAACCCCAAAAUAUAGCUUAUGAGGGAGGGAUUACCCAAGUCCAUAUAUGCAAACUACACAUCCAUAGUGGGACUUUAACCCACUCUAACAUUCUUUAAACGCCAUGCUUCUUUCAUCUUCUAUUCUCAAAAUGCAGAGAGAACUAUUCAGAUUCUAACUCCUACGUCACGGCAAGACCUAAUUUAAGCAAAGAGAUGCUCAUUAUCAUACACAAAAGUGUCUCACAUGCUAAGGGGUUAUUCCCAGGUCAAUUUUACAAAGUGAAGGUUCAAAAGUUUUAAUAACAAAAAGAUACCCAGUGAGGGGAUAAAAGUAAAAUAUAGAUAUCAUUACUAUUAUUAAUAAUAAUAAUAAUAUAGUUGGUACGACCACCAAGCCUAUCUCGUAAGAAAGUGAGAGAUGUUCAACUACCAACGAACCUUCUACCCUAAUUCGCGAUCUCCAAACCCUAAUCACUCUAAGUAUACCUGUGACGGAUUCAAAGACCAGAACAUAUCAAACUUUUUGUCUUAAGUCUUCACCUUUAUGCACAGUUGUAAAAAAGUCUUCACCUUCGUGCACAGUUUCAAAAAAGUCUUCACCUUCAUGCAGCCACAUACUGUCAUCUUGAUUGGGACAGAGUGAACAAAUGCUAUAAUUUCUUGAACAUGUCUAUAGAGAGCUAGCAUAGAAAGUGGACUCAUAGAACAGCUUAUUCCUUUUUCUACUUUAUCUAUUUUUUGUAGAGAACACCAGCAAUUACUGGAUGCUAUGUUAAACUAAUCUGUUGAGAUUAUCUUUUUUUUGGUAAAACUAACCUGCUGAGAUUAUCAUCAUCAACCUUCCCAAGCAAAGCAACAAUUCCUAUCAUGUCCUUCAUAAAUGGAAUAUGAGUAAUCUGAGUUCCAGUACGCUUUUGCAGCUGGACACAGAUGGAAGCUGCAGAUUUAUCAAAACUUAAGAUUUGUUCAAUGGUCUCCUCCUCAUUCUGCCCAUUGGAAGAUUCCUUAUUUUCAGAACCAGUUUCACUUGCUGAAUGAGUCUUGCCAAGAACAACUACAAUACACCACAAGCACAAGGAAUCAAAAUUGGGGAACAGUGCAAGGCAUAUGCAAAAAGGGAAAGAAAAACUGUUAAAAUGAAUAUUAUAGUCUACAUGGAGUGCUUUUAAAAAGGCAAUACACAACAUUAAACCCAUGAACAAUAUAUUAGGCCUCUGUUACUCAAACAAGCCGAUGGCUGAUAUUUUGUGGUACUGGUACAGGCAUCACAAAAUCCAUAUUUACUUGAAAUGACAAAUACGUCCCUUGAUAUGAAAAUCUUGCAAUGUUUGAUUGUUUCCUUCCCAUAAAGACAGAGUACAAGCAUUAUGUUCUAGGAUACUGAAAAACAAAAUAGCUACAGUAACCUUCUAAAAUUUUGUACAUGCAAUUUGCAGCACACCUAAUUAACUUGAAAAGAAGUAAACAGUACCUCGUAUAUCCAAAAUUGAAUCAUCCAACCUGUUCUUCUGAGCCUUCAAGAAUUUGACAUUAUCUUCAUGGUGUUUAAUUUUAAGACCAAUCUCCUGCAUUGCAUCCUCAAGUUUCUGCCAGAAGUAAAUGACAGAGUCAUGAAAUUGACCCAUCUACUACACAAUAUAUUAUCAUGUGCAUUAUCAUGAUAUCAUCUCAAAGACGGAUAUAAGUACACAUAUCUAUACCUCUUAUCAAGACUAUUGUGCGUAAUACAUCCAUGAAUGAAAUAAAAUAAACUAGGCAGAUAUCUUUCAUAAUCUUAACAACCUUGGAAUUGCAGAUAACUGCCUCAGCAGAUCCAUUUUGCAUUGGGUCACGAUUGGCGGCAAAAACGGGGGAAUUAAUCUGGCCUCCUUGAUUGAGCGAUGGAUCAUGCACAACUAAUGCCUUAGGACUGAUUGGCAGCUGGAAAAGAAACGUAAAAGCAAACAUCAGUUUAUUAGAAUUGCUUAUUAAGAAAAGAUUCAACAAGUGUCUAUUUUAAGGUCCUAGAGUUCUCACCAUAUAUACAGUGUAACAAGUAAUAGUAAAGCAGAAAUCGUACUUGCCAAUAUUUUUUAUCUUUGUUUCAUUUAGGAGGAACAUAAAAUAUACUUUCCUUCUGAAAAUAUAUAAUGAAGGUUGAACAAAGAUAUCAAUGGUGUCGUUGAUAGUGAUAGUUCAAAGCCAGAGGGAGCUAACGCAAAAUAAUGACGAGAAGGAACAAGAGAAACAAGACAAGGGAGAAAUCUAGGAUCAUAACGGGAAUAUGAUACAUUAUGAGAAAGAGGAUAAAUUUGAGGAUGGUAUCAAUGAAAACAAUCCUGAUGUUGAACCAUCAGAGGAGAAACCCACCUGAGUAACUGGCAGAAGAGUUCAAGAAGGCAUGAGUAGAGCAUAAGAACAGGAGAAUGAAGAGACACAAUCAAAUACAUCAGACACAUCAAUAGUCAAGACAAAGAGAAGGGGAUACAGGAGAGAUCACAAAACUCUGAUCCAGAAACAUAUAUGGACAAAGGCCAGAUAGCUGCUAAGAAUUUUGAAACAAGGGGGGUAAAUGGGGAAGACAACAAGGAGGAUCAAAUAGAUAUUGGAGAUGAUGAUGAAGUGACAGUGUAAAACAAUACAAGCAUACAAAAGGAAGAGGCCAGAAACAACAGGGUCGAUCACUUAGACACACCUAAAAUGCAAGGAAAGAAAACAGACAAACAAAAGCAACCAGAGAUAAGAGUGUGCCUCCUAAGCCAGCAAGGAGUGUACAAGCAAACAAGGUUUGCAGGUGCCAAAGCUACUCACCAAUGAAUAAUUCACUAAUAUUGAAUAUAAGGUUGGUAAAAACUCAACAUGCCUUUGAAAGAGUUGCUGUGAUGAAUAGACAAAAACACUUCAACUUUAUAGUUCUGAUGGAGCCUUUUAAACAUGUUAGACACGUAGUACAGACAGUGGUUAAUAAUGGGAACAAAAAGGCAUAAUAUCAAUGGGAAAAUCUAGUUUUUUGUGAUAGAUGAAUUUCAAGUUAAAAUAAUGAUGGACACGGACCAGGUAUUAACAUUACAAUUGACUCAGAUUACAGAAAUAUGCUAGUAAUGACAGAGAUAGUAGAAUAGAACUUUGGGAUGCACUUUAUGAUCAAUCUACUCAAAUACGAACUCCUUGGUUAGUAGGGGAAGAUUUUAAUGUGAUUGUGGAUGAAUAUCAGAAGUUUGGUGGGCUGAAACUGAAGACUUCUUGCUGCCUAACUGAAUGUCAAUUAUCAGAUACGGGAUUCACUUCACUGGUAGCAUGCUCACUUGUUUGAAUGGUAGAUCAGAUGAAACUUGCAUUUCUAAAAGACUGGAUAAAUGUUUGCGUAAUCAGGUAUGAGUAUGUUUCCUAACCUGGAAGUGGCACAUUUAAUUAAACAAGGAUCUAAUCAUGCACCUCUCUUAACACAUUACAAAGAGGAUAGUAGAGUAAUUAAGAAAUCUUUCAGAUUUCAUAAUUUUUUGGGUGGAAUAUGAGACAUUCUGGGAGGUAGUCAGACAAAAUUGGUCAGGGAACUUUGGUCCAGACUCUAUGGUUAUUGUACAUAAUAAUUUGAAGAAGGUCAGUAAGGCAUUGCCUAAAAGGAGUAGCAAUACAUAUGGUGACAUACUCAAACAGAUAGCAAACUCUAGAAGUAGUAGUUAAGGUCCAUGAGCCGGAAUUUGAACAAAAUCCUACCCAUGGAAACAGGAAGAGGCUACAAAAAUGUACAAGCUGAAGUGCUGAACUGAUAAAAUUCUAUGAUAUGGUGGAAAAGUUUUGGAAGCAAAAAACUGGAAUGCAGUGGUUUAAAAAUGGUGAAUAGGAACACCAAGUUCUUUCAUUCUCAUGUAACUGAUAAGAGAAAUAAACUACAACUCAAGAAGAUUAAAGAUCCUAAUGAGAACUUGCUGGAUAAGGAGGAGGAUAUCAUGCAGGAGGCUAUAACGUUUUACACAGAUCAAUUGUUGAGGAUCACAUUCCAACAAACUUUGAGAUGAUACUGAAUCAUAUACCUCAACUGAUUAAUGCAGAACUGAAUAAUUAGAUUCAUGAAAUUCCAGAGAUAGAAGGUGUGAAGAGUUGUUUUAGUCUAAAUGUAGAUAGUUCAGGUGGUCCACAUGGUUUCACUGGGAAGCUCUACCGAUACUGUUCGGACAUAAUUGAAACAGAUGUGCUAACAAUGGUGCAUUUUUUCUUCUGUGACAUGAAUUACCAGGACAUGUCACUGUCACAUGCAUAAAUCUGGUGUUAUUGCCCAAAAUGGAUAUUGUGACCUUUUUUUUGAUAAGAUAAGUGGUAUUAAUAACAGCAUCAAGAAGAUACAAAAUUUACAAGAUAUGGCAUUUGAGCUUACAAAAAAAUCUCUGGCUAACUAUACAAACUAUCUAAGCCAGAGCUAAUGAGUUAGUAAAAUCCUGAAGUUGUUCUGCAUUAACAGCAUGAUACAAGUUGGUCCAACUAAACAAAUUUUCAGUGCACCUAGUCUUCAAAAUGCCUAAAGCAGUUGACUCUCCAUCAAAACAUCUCUUGUUCCUCUCUAACCAAAUACACCAAAAAAUACAAGCAGGUAUCAUAAUCCAGAUCUUCUUGAUGGCUUUGUCAACUUUCCAUAGACUCCAACUCUCAUAUGCAUCCUUAACAGUGAGGGGUGUGGUCCAAUUGAUGCCAGAGAGACAAAAAAACAUGCUCCAUAAUUCUGAGGCCACCUCACAAUGAAGAAGAAGGUGUCUAGGGGUUUCAGCCUCUUUUUUGCACAUAUAGCAUCUGUUUGGGAAUUGGAUUUUUCUUUUCUUUAUGUUGUCUUGGGUGAGACAUGCCUCAUAUAGAGCUAUCCAGGUAAAAAAAACUACCUUAGGUGGUAGCUUGGUCCUCCAAAUGAGUUUCCAGGGCCAGUUAGCUAUCACGGGGUUUCUAGAGCACAACUGUUGAUACCCUUCCUUGACUGUAUAAACUCCUUUCUGGUGUCCCCAUUUGAGCUUAUCAGCUGCCUGGAGAUUAAUGUGACGAUGUUGUAGUCUAGCAAAAAGGUCUACCAGAUCAUUCACUUCCCAAUCGUGCAUAUUUCUUCUAAAUCUUAGAUCCCAAUUGAUCCCUUCUCUAUUAGCAGAAAUAAUAGAAUUGGGAUCUUGAGCAAUUCUAAACAGAUCUGGGAAAUCCUCCUGAAGAGUGGUAUUUCCAAGCCAUUUGUCUGUCCAAAAUUUUAGGAGUACACCAUUGCCCAAUUCAAAGUAAGCGUUCUGAUCAAAUGUAUCCCACAACAUCCUAAUACUCUUCCACAGUCCCACUCCGUAAGGAAGUGUAGUAAUAUUUGAGCACCAUUGAUUCAGCCUUCCAUGCUUAGCUAUGAUGACCUCUUUCCAGAGCCCUGCGUCUUCCAAGUUGUAUCUCCAAAGCCACUUCAUCAUCAUACUUUUGUUGUGGGCUGCAAGGUUCUUAAUGCCAAGACCUCCUUGGUAUUUUGGUUGUGUGACCUUCUCCCAUUUGAUGAGAUGAAAUUUGUGUUUCUCUGUGUUGCCUUUCCAGAGGAAGUCCCUUCUUAUCUUGUCAAUCUGUUCUAUAACCUCACUUGGCAUUGGGAGCAAGGCCAUGUAAUAAGUAGGUAAACUGUCUAGAACACUAUUGAUAAGUGUUACUCUACCACCAAAGGAGAGGUAUUGCAUUUGCCAUGUUGCCAACCUCUUCUCAAACUUUCCAAUAACCCCUGUCCAAAUUUCAGUGGAUUUAUGCUGAGCACCCAAAGGAAGACCCAAAUAAGUGGAAGGAAAUGAGCCAAUGUUGCAGCCCAUGAUAUCAGCCAGCUCCUCCAAAUUUAAAACUUCAUUAACUGGGUAGAUAUUGUGACCUUUUCAGAUCAGUUUGAGCAACCUCACUCACAUGAAAGAUUUUCUCCAAGACCAUACAUGAAAGACUGGUAUACCUACUGGCAACAAUCAUCUCUCCAGCAAGCAGGUUUUAUGGAAGGAAGAAGCAUAGUUGAGUAUAUAUUAUUGGUACAAGAAAUUGUGCAUGAUAUUAAGAUAAAGGGUAACCCAGCAGUGAUAAUGCUGAACAUGACAAAGCAUAUGAUCGAGUUUCAUGGUUGUUCCUGACUAAAGUGCUAAGAAGAAUGGUUUUUGGAGAUUUGCUAAUUGACAUGGUAUACAGAAUAAUCUCUAACAAUAGGUAUUUUAUUCUAAUGAAUGGUAAGCCACAGGGUUUCUUUAAAUCUACUAGGGGAGUGAAGCAACUUUAUUUAUCAUAGCUGCUAAAUGCAUGUCAAGAGCCUUCAACGCCUUACACAAGGAUGAGAAGUUCAGAGGAUUUGGAAUGCCAAAGUGGAUCCCAUACAUCAACCACUUAGCAUAGGCUGAUGAUACUAAAAUUUGCACUUCAGCAAAAGAAUAUUCCUUAAAAUUGGUGAUGGAAACAUUGGCUACAUAUGAGAAAGUGAGUGGACAGUUGAUUAACAAAGGAAAGAGUGCACUGCAGUGUAUACACAUGAAAACACAAAGGAUGAGGUGGUGACAUUGGUGAACAAAAUUACAAGAAUUCCAAGAGAAGUGUUCCCCUGUACAUACUUAGGGGUGCUAACCUACUAUAGCAGGAGGAAGAAUGCACAUUACAAAGAAAUCACUGAUAAAGUGAGUAACAAACUCUUUUCCUGGAUAGGAAAAUGGCUAUUUAUUGGUGGGAGAAUCACUCUCGUUAAACAUAUCUUACAAAGCAACCCCAUACAUUUGUUGUCAGACUGUUGUAAGCUUGUGACUGACCCUCUUGCAGAGGUUAUCACAGGAUGUUUGCUAAGUUUUUCGGGAGUAAUUCAAUAAGAAAUUCUAGCAAACAUUGAACUUCUUGGACUGUGCUAUGUCAUCCUUAUGAUGAAGGUGCACUGGGAUUUAAAAGCCUACAGGAUGUCUCAAAAGCUUUAUUUGCUAAAUUGUAGCAGGAUUAACAGGAAACAAAAUACAAUUUACAACAAGACCAAAUACAGUUGGACAACAGAAAAGAUACCAGAUAACAAAAUGGUAAAUUACAAUCUGGGUUAUACAAAUAUAACUCUUGAUCUUUAACGGCAACGAUGUGCUCAGCUCAAGCACCGCAAUCAAAGCUCAAAGUGGGAGUGCAGUGCCUCUCCGAGCAGAUUUUUCCUAGCACUUUCUAGAAUAGAGCUUCUUUCCUUCUGCUUUCAUUUGGUUCUGAGUACACUUUCCUUUUUCCUUUACUUUGUUUUGAUCAUUUAACUUAUAAAUAAAAUAGCCCUGUGGGGCCUCGUCUUUUGAACAAACAAACAAAAAAGAGUAAACCUCUUUGUGAGCAUUUUGUGACAGUAUUAUGUGAGGUUAUUCUAUCUUCUAAAUCUUUCUAUUAGAGUGUCAGCUCUUCUUUACUCUUAAUAGCCAUCACUGAAAUAGUGAAUUGCUCCUCUCCACUUGUGGAUGUAGGUCUGAUUGGCCAAACAUGUAAUACGUUUUGUCCUUCAUUGUAUAUUUCUCUUCCAUAUUCUUUUUUAUAGAAAAUGUUAUUUCAUUAUAACAAAAGCACCAACCAAGUGCUGAAAAAUGUACAGGUAUAGGUGUGUAAAAACCAACAGAAUAAUCUGUUUCUAAUCUUGUAGGGAUUCUAAGGUGCAAAGUAUUGAUUCUGCUUCAUUUACAAAUUCUUCCUAGCACCAAAAAGAUAACAAAAGUGUACAGUUAGAGUUGGUCUGCUGUAUGGAGUUUGCUUUGUCUUCAAAACAUCUAGAGUUCCUUUCUUUCGCUACAGUCAACCAGAAUCCAAGACACUGUGUUCCACCAUAUUCUGAGUUGUUGUCUUAGUGAUAGGGGUGGCAAUGGGGCGGUGCGGGGCAGGUUGAGCUUGCCCCGCAAACCGCCCCGCCCCCCAUAACAUUUUUUUGCAUUUUCAACCCACUCAGCCCCGCCCCACUUAAUUAUUCUCAUUUUUAUUUGUCUAAAUCAUGCAAUUAUAACUUGCCUCAAAUUUCAAUUCAUUUUUUCCCCUAUCCAGAUACUAUUUAAUAUCGUUACUGUUCUGAGAUACUAUUUAAUUUAUAAGAACUUAAUAAUUUAUGUGUUUUAGAAAGAAUUUUUUUUUUUGAAAAACCAAUCAAAAUCAAUAAAGAUAUCAACCAUCAAAUUUAACACUAAAUCAAAGCAAUAGUUUUCUCUCAUUAUCAUUCCUAGUUUCAGAAAUAUUUAAUUUGUAUCCUAUUUUGUCCUUCUUUGUUUCUCUUUUUGCUUAUCAUUUUGUUACAGUGUACAAUGAAAUUAUAAAUAUAUUUGUGCAGUAAGAGAAAAUAUGUCAAAUUAAUCAAAUUAAGAAAAUAAUUUUUUGCUAUUUAUAUGAGUAUGUUUAUUGUGAUUUUUAAAUACUAUAAGAGUUGUGAACUUGUCUCAAACUAACUACUAACUAGUACCAUUCUAUUAAUAUUAGAAGUCUAUUAAAUAUUUAAAUUUGAGCACUUAACCUAAAUAUGACUUCAAAUUAAUUUUGAUUCUAUAUUUCAUUUUUAAUUAGUUUCAACUAUCAUAUAACAUAUUAUGUAACCCUUAUUCAAGGAAAAUGAAGCUAUGUUUACAGGGACGGAAUUAAGUGAAAGAACCCACAACCUGCCCCGCACCCGCAUUAUUUCUUUUCAAAAGAGUUUCAAACGCCCCGACCCGGCCCACCCCACAUAAAGUCAAACCCGCCCCACCCCGCAUAAGACAAAACCCGCUCCACCCAGUUGCCAUCCCUACUUAGUGAAGUCAUCAGAUUUACUUCUUCCUGAGGCUUCCCAGCCCCUGGAUCCUCAGUCAAGGAUAUUUUAACUCAUUUUAAUUUUUAGUGAAUGAAAAGAAAAAGAACUCUGGCUCUAAAAAGGAAAGGGAAGCUAAAUAUUGAAGAGGCUUGAGGAUCGAUAAACCCGGGCGAUAAAGGAACUGGUGGAUUUUAUUAGAGACCUUUUCUUUAAAGGAAAAGCAUGUCACGGUUUUCACCUCACCGCUCUUGCUUUGUAAAAUUUCCAUUUCAACUAGAUCCUAACAUCCUCCUUCCUACGUAAUCAUGAUGUAUAUUGAUAUACAGUUGAAUAUCACAAAAAUCUCUAACUAGAACCCUAAAUUCCCUGAUACCUUAAACUAACAGCCAAAUGAACAUCGAAGUUGACGAAGAAUUUUAUCAGAACAGCUGCAUGAAGGCUUUAUCGGUGCCCAUUAGCAUUAAUUAAGUAUUUUUAUGGUUUAUAUCACUUAUCCUGAAACUCAAUUGACAGAAUGAGCAUUUCAAUUGAGUAGAAAAGUCACUUAAUUCACUAAAAAAUCGAAGGUAAAACAGAGGGGGAGGGAAGAGGGAAAGAGAGAACCUGAACCUUCUCAUUGUCUAUCGACAUUCUCCGUUGGCCGCCGUCCAUCGUUGGGUCGCCGGAGAUUCCGAGAAGAGUGAGAGCAGCGCCGUUAGGGGGGGAAGAGUGGAGGAGUUCUGACAGCAAAGUGAAUAUAGGGCUUCGGAAAUGAAGGCGUUUUGGCAUUUAUUUGGUCAUGAAAACUAAUAACUCACACUCUACACGUGUACAUAAUUUUCAAUAUUUUUGUUAGUAUUUUUUUAUUUUUUUAUUCUAGAAGCGUCAAAAAUAGCAAAUCAUAACUCGUACAAUUUGCUUAAGUCUGAUUUGAUUAUUGAUAUGCUUAUUUAUUAGUUCAUUUAAUUUAUUUUAGUCCAUCAAAUUUAGGAUCAAUAUUUAGUUCAAAUUAAUUCAUGAUAAAAGUUUUCAAAAUAAUUUUUCAAUACCCUAAUUGACCCUUCAUAUAACAUUGUAUAACAUUUUGUGACUUGAAAGAAUGGAUGACACGAUUUUUGAGAUGAUUGAAUAUAUUUUAGGUGAGUUCUUUCAGUUUUGAAACUUGAAAAGUUUGACCAAAAUCAAUAUUUGAAGUUAACAAGGUCAAUUUCUAGUUUUGAUGAUUUCACUAGGUUUGAAUGAUAACUUAUGACUCACAUGGAAAAUUGACAUGAUUUUCAAGAGGUUCAGAGAAGAUUUGGACCCUUUAGCUAGUUUUAGUCUUUUUAUAAGUUUAGAGUUGACCACGAUAACAUUUUGUAAAAACAACCUUAGAAUGGUAAUUUGAUGAUUCAAACAUGCACAGAAUGUGUUUUAUCAUCGAUUUGCACUAUUAAUUCAUAUUUGGGAGGUCUCGAACGAAUUUGGAGAUUUAUUCUGCUAUACUUGUAUCUAGAAUUGUUGAUUUUAUUGUUUUUUGGUGCAGAUCAAAUCAUUCUUCGUUAGGUUGUCCAGUAAGAAAGGCUACUUCACUAAUCUUCUUCACCAUAGGAGGUAAUACGAGAAAGGUGUUAAGACCCAAAUAACUGUUGACUAUUGAAGAUGCUAAAGUACUACCCCAAAUCAUUUCGAUUAAGGUGUAUAUAACACUCAAUGGCCAACGGUCUGUUGCUAAUUUUAAAUCAAAAGAGUAACAAGACUUCAGUCUUUUAAGUCUUAGAUACUACAACAGACGUUCUUGGUUGAAUGUACCAUCAGUCUUAAGACUUGAUAGUACAGUCAUAGCCCAAAUAUGGACGGGAUGCAGAAGUCUUUGUUUUAUAUAAUUACAUAUAGCAAAGAUCCUCCGCUUCCCACCACCUUCAAUAUUCGUGCCUUGGUCAUAGUUACUUAGAAGAAUUUUUCAGAGUGCUCACGAAGAAGAGUUAAUGGACCAUGUCACAUUAUUCAUCGCAUUUAGAGGGAUAUGAUUGCUUUCGAGAGAGUCUAGGUUGGUUCGUUGGUUCACACUCACGAAAAAUGCUUGGUACUUAGACAAAUAAAAUUGUAUUGUCAAAUUUGGACAUUUUAUGUUUAUUUGGGAGUUUUUGAGCUCAAAAUGGAGAGAUUUUAAAGUUUUUCCGAGAUAUCAUUGUGCUGGUAAGAUUAUAACUCCCUAUUUGUUAAUUUUUCAUUGAUUUAUCACUGAUUUUGUCGUUUGAAUCAUGUAUAUAUGAACAUAAAAAGUUUGGAAUUUUUUUCUUACAUGUAAUUUGAAAUUAUAUUUUAAUGAUUUGAGAGUCGAUUUGAACUUCGUUUUUGAUAAAAUUUCAAAUUUGAGUUCAUUGUCCUAUGGGUAAAUUUAUUUUGAAAGAAAAUUUUAAUUUCAACGUCAGCUCAUAGGAUUAACUUUUUCAACUCAAUUUUUUACCUAAAUUUUUAUAUCAUAACAUGAGCAUCGAUAAAAUCUCGUAUUCACUAAUAAAUCAUAAUUUUGAUAGAUUGAUAUCGUUUUGAGGCUUUACUCAAAGAAAAAACAAUGGUAUGAGGGUUCAUGGUACGUUUGCUUGAACAAUAUUCAUGUUAGGUUAUAACUUAUUUUUCUUAUGCUUAGCUUAGGUGUUUUUGGCUAAAAAAAUCCUUAAACUAUAUCCUCAACUUAAACUACAUACUAUAGUUAUCUUUCUUAACAAAAAAAACAUACUCCAAGUAUUUAAAAUUUAACAACUUCCAUCUCUCUGUUAAAAUUUGUCAAAAAAUUAGCAAAUUUCACACAAAAACAUAUGCAAUUCAUACUAUUUUCAUCAAACAAAAAUUCUAUAAUUUUAUUACUUGUUGGAAAAAGCUUUCAAAAAUUAAUUUUUUUAGACCCUUGUUUGUUGAGGAGAGUGUGAGUCUACUAGGAGACAUGAUUUGCUCUUCUCCUUUACCAGCUGAAUGAAGUUGGAGCUUAAUUUUACACCAUCUUCACCUUGCAAAGUCAAAAUGUCGUUAGAUCAAUAAUUUUUUGGGGCAAACUGAUAGAUGAGGUAAUCAAGAUUCAACUAAUUUUGAUCUCUAGUACUCGAGUUUCGUUUUCCAUUAUUAGAAGUAAAAGUUUUCGAUCGACACCACUUUUUAGCGAUUCAAUAAGAAAACAUUUCAACUGAUAAUUUUUUGAUAUCAAAUCAAAUGAAAAGUAAAUAAAAACAAAAUUUCUAAUUAAAAGGAUGGCAAUGCUUUCGUUGUUGCUAAAACUAAUUCACAAUAUUUUAUUUUAAAUGUAUGUAUAAUGGACAAAAUUGGCUUAUUGGGGGUGAUUUAAAGAGUUUUUUUUUAGAGUAGUGUGAAUCGUAUGUGUUUUUGUGAAGAAUUUGUUAAUUUUUGACAAAUUUUAACAAAAGAAUGAAAGUUGCCAGAUUUUAAAUAAUAGAGGGAUGUUUUCUGUUAAGAAUAAUAAUUUGAGGAUGUAGUUUAAAUUGGGGGUAUAGUUUAAGUAUGUUUUUGACCAAAAACUUUGAAACUUACUGUAUAAGGUAUGUUAUUGGUUGGGUAAAAUAAUGGGUUUGUAGUAUUACACAUAUUGAUUGUUAUUAUGUAAUCCGAGAUUGAGAUUUUAGAUGAUAUUUAAUUUAUAAUUUGAAAUUACAUCAUUGUUGAAUUUUUAGAUGAUAUUUAAUUUAUAAUUUGAAAUUACAUCAUUGCUGAAUUUUACUCAGUUUCUGACAUCUUAUCGUAUAUGACUUGAAAUUACUCCCUCUGUUUCAUACUACUUUGCCUAUAUAUUAGAAACAGUUGUUUCAAUUUAUGAAAUUAAUUAAAAAAAAUUAUAUUUUUCCAUUUCAACCUUGGUAUUAAUAACUAGUUAAAGUAAUAACAGAAAAGUUUAGAGUUUAAUAAAAUACACCUCUAAUUAAAAAUUUCUUAUAAAAAAAAGUUGAGCAAGUAAGACCAAGUAAUAUAAAACAAAAGGAGUAAAUAAAGAUUUUAACAAAAAAAAAAAAAAAAAAAAAGCUUGCAUCGGCUUUUAAUGGCUUUUAAUGAACUUUGAACUUUAAUGAAUUUAAAAAUAUAAAAAAACAGAGGACCUCUGGAAAUUAGAACUCCUUCAAAAUCUAUCAUAUGUUUACAUCUUUUAAAAUCUUCAAAAUCUUCAAACAAUUAAUACCUACGAGCAUAUUAAAAAAUCAUUAUACUUUUCGAACGAAGGAAUUAAAAAAUAGUGUCUUGCUUUGAUUUUUCCAAGAGAAAAAAUUUAUUGUCCUGCUAUAAUUUACUUUUAUAGAGAAGACUUCUACCAUGGGUAAAAAUUAAAUAUUUUUAGUCUUAAUAGGGACUCAUAUUAUGUCAUUAUUAUUAAAGUAAAAUAGUAAAUUGUAAUUUUGUCUAGAGUUUUUAAAGAGGGACAAAAAGUUCAAUCACAUUUCUAUAAAGUAAUCUAAAAUAUAUUAUAUAUAAAAAAGAUCUUAAGCUCGCCCUCGUGGCACUUCUGAAAAACAUAAAAUACUAUUUAUCUUUUCUUUUCGUGGGCUUUUUAACCUAAUUUUUUUCCAUUUAAAUAUGUUUCAUUCCCUAGAACUUUUUUCCCGAUUUAUCCAUAAAUAUUUUUUAUUUAUAGAUUUAUUUUAUAUAAAAGCUAACAUAUCAGACUUAGAUUAUGCUCCAUUAGAUGUUUCAUUCUUUGAACGGGAACGUAUAUUCAUCUUUUUGGUUAUCUUUCAGUACUAAUAUAUUAUUUUUCAUUUAACAAUUGCAAUCAGUUGAAAUUUUUCAAAAUAAAGUUUUCAAGAAAUUAUUAUGGAUAUUUAUGAGAGACUUUAAAUCUUUUUCCCAUGGACAUUAAUUGUUGACUAUGGAGUUUUUUUAUAUGAUGAAUAAAGGGUGUUAGGUUAUUCACAAAAUUUCCACAUGUGUAGGAAAUUUAAUUAAGAUAUGCGAGUAUAUUCAUAUUUUCUAUGUGGUUCACGAACUAAUUUUUGAACAAUAAUGAAUUUCUUUUCACAAUUUUCUAUGUAUAUUCGCCUCAAAUUUCAAUGUAGUGUACUUUGAGAAUAUUCGUAAAAGCAAAAUUAUUGUUGUAAUCGUGUGUGUACUUGUGGAGUUUUGAUCUUUUUUUCUUCUCUUUUUACUUUUAGAUAUUGUUUGGCAUUAUUGUUGGAAGUUCAGAGAUAUUUAUUUUGAUGAAAAAGUAUUUUUUUAUGAAAAAUUAGGUGUUUGAUAAAUCAGUAAAACUGCUUAUAAAUGGAAGCAAAAACAGUUUUUUUCGGUUGGAAAGAAGCUAAAAGUUUCCGCUUCUUAAAAAAAGUGGAAGCAAAAGCAAAAAAUUAUUUUUUUCAAGACUUAAAUAUCUCUUCCAUAUAUACAUAUUUACCAAAAUACCACUUAUUAAUUAACCUAUCUCAUAAGUUUGGUUAAGUUUCAUUUAAGAAUUUUAUAUAUUAUUUAACGUUUAUGUAUUAUUAUUUUAUUUAUUAUAGUACGUAUUGUUUUACAUAAUUAGAAAAAAGAUAACAAAAGUAUUUUUUGCAAGAUUAGAAAAAGAUAAUUAAAGAUUUUAACCCUCCAAAUAAGGUAUAUUGAAAAUUGAAUAUGUACAUUUUAGUUUCAUAAAAAUAAAAAUUAAAUUAAGGAUUUUUUGUAAUAGAUAUUAAAAAUAAUUUCUCUCUAUAAAAUAAUCUUAACACUAAAAGUACAUUGAUAUUUGUCCCUUUUUCGUAGUUAAACUCUCAAAAGUAUUUUUAAUAAAUAUUUGCCAAAGACAAUUUGCUAAUGGAAAACACUUUUUAAAUGAAUUUAGUCAAAUACAUAUUGUUUUUUUUUCAAAAGCACUUUUUUUGAAAAGCUAUUUUAAAAAUAUAUUUCUGAAAAUAAGCAAUUUUUAUCAGUAAUGCCAAACAGACUCUUAAUAUUACAGUAAUAACCAUGUGUAAUUUAAUGGCCAUUGCUUUUCAGAAAAACAAUUUAAAGAAAUCUUUUCAAGCUAUUGAAACAUAUUGCCAGCUUCAGGCAAGUCCUUUUAUUUUUGGAUAAGAAGUAUACAUAACAAGGAUAAAAAGUAUAUGAAGAAGUUUGUCUGAGUUGGUAACAUCUUUCAGUAAACCUUGCUUACCUUUAGUAUAUCGACUACUAUUAUAUUUUUAUUUUUAUUAUGAAACAAUUUUUUUUAUUGAUGACAUAUUAUUUGUAAAAGUUUAUAUUUCUCUUUGGGUACACUAUAUCAAAAUUGAUCUUUAGUAGUGAUUAACCAACGACAAUAACUUAAUUGCCACUAAGUAAAGACUAUCAGCGUUAGCACUCUUUGUUAAUGUUGCAAUAUUCAUAUUUCUUGCCGAUGCUUAAUUGUUUUCUCUAUGUGCAUCAUUUUCAUGGAUUUGACAAUCUUUGAAGUGAAGAAUAUGAAUUUCUUUAACACGAGGGAUUUGGAUGCAUGGUGUUGUUCCUAGAUAGGUUUACUGAUCUAUAUGCAUUCGUCUAUCUCAAAAAAUAAUAAUUCUUCUUUGCUACGUGUAUUAAUUAUUUUAAAGGGCAACUCGGUACAGUAACUCUUUAGGAAAGUUAACGAAUGGGCGAAGCGCGGCAAGUAUAACUAUAUAUUACUGCAACUGUUUGCAACAAGGCACAAGACACAUAAUGAGUAGUUAUUCCUACUGUCACAUACAAGCAUGUCUAAAAAGGAACCAGAUGCAGCAGCUUCACUUUUAAUUCCUUUCCAAACAAAGAUCAAUAAAUGAUUCCUAUGACUUUACACCUUGAUCAUUCAUUUACUUGGAAGGCUAUAGGUGUUGAUUUGUACAGAGUAUACUACCUUGUGUUUCUUCACAAAAAAAAAAAAAAUGUUCCAUAAAAGGCAAGUCACUGGCGUAAUUACCUGUACAAGACUCAGAAGAAGCAAACCAGCAUGUCAGAGUUGUACAUUCCAGGAAAAGGUGCAAACGUUUUCUUGUACUUUGUCCGAGUCCUAAUCUCUUCCUGUAUCUGAUCAUGCAAUUGACUUAGUUCCAGCUUCAAGUCUUCGAUUAUCUUCAAUCUUUCUACUUUCUCAGGUGAGAGGAGCAACUGUCUUUCCAGACAGAUGACUGGAAAUAGAAAUAAAGACAGACGUUAAUCAUUUAAGUCCCAUGGAUAUCAUGCAAAAUCUACUCAUCUUUGUGAUAAAACAAAUAAAUGGUAGAGAAGUAGGAAAAAAAAAAUACAUACUCAGAUCCAACUCCAUUUCCUCUCAUCAUUUCACCAUCCAAGGAAACCGCACCAUCUUCUAUGCAGGAACUUGCCAUGUAAAGGUGUUCUCUAGACUCUAGACUUGAAGCUUACCAAGCAGACAGUAAAAUGAUGUCUCCAGGAGACCAUAAGUUCUAAACUGCAAAUGUUCUGCAGGAAGGAAUAUCAUAUUAACCGCAUAGCCAAAAAUGCCAGGGAGAGUUUCUCCAUUUGAUAAAGCUGGGCUUGGAAAAGCAAGUUCUCUUUGGAGAUCACUGCUGACUCCUCACGUAUAUGGCCUGAAACAAAAAGGCAAGGACCUUACACUUUAUUUUUCCAGAGAGCAAUGAUCAGACAUGGAUGAAACAUGAUGUGUUAACUGGAUCGAGAGACCUAAAAUCAUAACAAUUAAAAACAGUUAGUAUAAAGUAAACCAGAGAAAGAAAUGCUUUAACCUUAUAUCCUCAAGGCAAAUAACCUUAUAUUGAACCUUGAUGGAAAUUCCAAGCUUAGAAGAUAAUAUGUCAAGAGCACUGGCGCAAUUCACAUUUCAAUCCAUUUGAUAAUUGUCAAGAGCUCUGGCGCUGCACGGGAUUUGCAUACUACUGCAAGCAACUGAUCUUCUCCAAGAUGUGUUGAAAAGCAUGCUAGGGAUAGGUAACACACGUAAUUACAUCCAUACUGCCAAGGAAGUUCUUAAACUGAGUCGUAUUACAGAAAAAGAUACCAGCAUCAACCUGCUAAGCUUAUGGGUCCAAAACUCUCCAAGAAGUGCAACCACGCCAAGUAUGUCAUGAGCAUAUUUGAGAUACAGCUGUUCAGGUUUUGGUGAUCUGAGCAGCUUGUGGACAACAGCAGCUGCACUGUCUGCCUUUCCUUCAAUCUUCUCCAUAACCACUUCUUUAUCAUAGCCCAGGUCGUGAAAAGAAUCAAGACCGGUAUAAACUGCAUCCAUGAGCAUUUUAUGUUAAAAAAUUUAAGAUGCAUUUAAUAUGUCUUGAAAGAAGUUAAGACGGGUUGCGAAUGAGGUACCACUCUACUACAAGUUACUACAGGAUCUCAAAUUUCCCAUGCAAUCAUGAUAUCGGGGCUGACCGCUCCCCUCCUGCCAGAAACUGUGGCUGCAUACACGGCGACAAUAGAUCAUACACUGAGAACAAAACUUCAUAAGGCAGUAGUGGUAUGUAAUACAUCCAGACAUAAGGUACUAGUGGUAAGUAAUACACGGAUUACUUUAUUUACAAAAAGAAGCAGUGAGGGAGAAAUAUGUAGGUACAGUAUUGACUGCCUUUUUUUUUCUCUGUAAUGGAUUCUAUAUAGAAUUAAAAUCAUCUUGCAUUUUAUGCCAAAAAGCUAACAACAAUGCAAUGGAAUUUACAAGGUCCUUUGGAGUUAAAAUCAUAUUAUACAUCUGUUUUACAGCUCGUGAAGGGGGAGUAAGAUAGGCUAGGUGCUUUUACUCAACUCGUGAAGGUUCAUUUCUAGUUAGCAAGGAUAAGGAAGUAAAGCUAGAGUCUUCUAAUAAUAUGCUUGUCAUAACGUGCGACUAUCUCCACUAUAAAAAGAAAAAAUGGAAAGAAUAGCAUUUUCAGCACAUUUAUACGAAGAAGUCUUUAUUAUUAUAUUAGCAUAGGUAGUCAACAUUUUCAAUUAGGGUUUUUUCCAUACAUGCAAACACAAUAAAUGAAACCAAGCAAUCAUAGUUAGUAGCACACUUGAGCCCUAAAGUGAGUAUCAAAACGUGUUGAGCGCUUACCGUUGCUAAAUGUGCGCUUCAAUGUCGGCAUCAAGAGUCUAAGGCAUACUUUUCGUUAUCAAUGAACCUCUUAUGAAGAUGUGAUACUAAACAAUUGAUAUUUCACUCUAUCGUACAAAAAAUUUCAAUUUGUUUGUUCUUAUAUUUGUUAUUCAUGCUAAUAAUUAUGGGAUAGUUUCAGAUAUAUACAAUAAAAUCAUUAGUUUACAAUAAGAGCUUGUUGGAUUGGCUUUUCAGAUUUGACUUAUAAGCCAAAAACCAUAAGUUACAAAUCAUACUUAUGGCUUUUGGUUUAUUUUGUCAUUUUAGCUUAAACCUAAGUGCUUAUACCGUUAUACGUACUUUUUUAACUUACCCAAACACUACGAAACUGCUUAAAAGCUAUUUUAGCUUAAAAGCACUUAAAAUAAGCCAAUCCAAAAAGGCUCUAAAAAUAGCCAUCCUAUAUUUACAUAAUAAGUAGCCAAAAGUCAUAGAAAGUAAUACACUAAGGGGUUGUUUGGUGUGAGGGAUAGAAAUAAAUAGUAAUGGAUAAGAAAAUAGUGAUAGGAUAAAGUUUUUGUAUCUUGUUUGGUUGUCAUGUUUGGGAUAACUUAUCCCACCAUUUAUAUCAUAGUGAUGGGAUAAGUUAUCCCCUAUACAUGGUGGGAUAAGUUAUCCCAUGAUAGCUAAUCAGGAGGAGGAGGAGGAGGAGGAGGAGGAGGACAAGAAGAAGAAGAAGAAGAAAAAGGAGGAGGAGGAGGAGAAGGGGGGAAGUAGGAAGGAGGAGGAAAAGAAGCCAUUAAUAGCCAAAUUGAUAGGAAGAAGCAGGUUAUGUCCAAUGUCCAAUGUCCAAUGUCCAAUUUGGCCAUUUUAAAAAAAAAAAAAAAGAUGACAAACUGGCCCUUUUGUAUAAUUUUCCCAAUAAUUAUUAGACUUGGACUAAACAUAUGUAUAAUUGUAUUUUUUUCACCCUUUGCAUUGUUUUUCAUUAAAGCCCACAUGUUAUUUGUACUUUGCAAAGCUCCAACGAACCUUAGAUGUUUGUUGCGCUUUUCGCAUUUGAUAAUACUGACCAUAGAUGGAGGUCUAUCUCCUAUAGGCAUCAUAGUAGAUCUCCACUAAAAAAGACAAAGAACACGCUAAAUUAAUUGUGUCUACGCUUAUCUAAACCUUCUAAAACAAAAAAGAGUUGACAGACUCUUCUAUUCUACUCACUCUGGGAAUUUGAAGCUAUGAGGGCGAUCCGUGUAGUUAGUUCCCUUCGUUUGUGGAGCAGGGCCUCCUUCCUCUCUUCCGAACUGCAAAUAUGGUGCAAGAUAUGUUGCAUCAUAUUUGCAACAGCCUCAGGCUCGAGUUGAGGAAAAUGCAACCAAAACAGACCCAACCUUCGCUCUGAUUGGAGAUUCUCCUCUUCUACUCUCAAGAAAUAUAUCUUCCAAGUCUUCAAAAAGAAUCUAUGGCUUCACUCAAUUUGAUUCGAGUUAGCAAGUUAAAGGUGAAAGGAAUUUAGGAAUGAAUAGCAUGCAAAGUCCUUGCUAGGAAUUCAGAAUAACUUUCUAUAUUCCUUAAGGUUACAAGUGAAGCUUACUUCCUGUGGUAGCCUCUUGGAUCUUUGCCACUCAAGGGUUGGGUUCUGUGGCGGGCUCUUUGGUCUCCGGACUCAUUUGGUAAAAGUGGUGGCUUGGUCCCCCCCCCCCACCCCCCUUAUCAUGAGAGUAUGUGGGAGAAGUUUGUAUUAGCAUUUAGGCAUUUGCCUUAUGGUUCGCGGUUUGCAGUCCUCUCUUGCCGAGAUGCCUUUCAAAAAGAUUUUUUCCCUCAUCAAAACAAGACCCACUAUCGUAGAUAUAGCCGAGUCGGGCGUCGACAGGAAUUCCCCAAUAGAUUCUACAGAUUCAGAGAUUGCGUUUUACUGUAAAAGGCUUGAUUUCACAAACAUGUACAUUUUAUAAUGUAUACUAUCACUAUGCUCUACGUUCAAAAUAUUUCUUCUUUACAAACAGUCCAGAUGAUAUACAAGGGACCUGACUUGUUAUCCAGAUCUUCCUAAAUUGCGUCCUUAAUCUACUAGUAGUCUUCCUUUGGUUCCCAUGACAUACAUUCUACUCAUUUCUACAAUAUUUUCUCUCUCCUAAAUUCUUACCAGUAUAUCUAGGAUAUUUAACAUUAUGGCGAGAACUUUGCGACUAAAUGACUAUUUAAUAACUGGACUACUAAAUUUCUAAUUUAUCCAUGUCUCCUCUUGGAACAAAUUAUUUCAGCAGAAGUUUACAUAAAUUAAAUCUUUCUUUUAAAGUAAGUUCUGCAAAAGAUCCUUCCCAAGCUCCUCAUUUGUCUUGCCUAACAAAUUUCCAAAGUUUCAGAUAUUGCCAGUUGAAUACUCCAAAUACAAGGAAGCAAAUAUGUAGAUGCCAAAUCUACGUGGAAGAAGAAGAUCUACACUUGUCAUCCCUGAGCUAGAUUUGAAAGUUGGGUGGAAAGACAUUGAUAACAAGAUAGCCAUAUUCAUAAAUGCCUCUCUACCAUCGAUAUUCAAUUCAAGAUUGACAGACAAAGAAAUCCUAUAUUCAAGGGUUGUCAGGAGCAGUAAAUGGGGAAAUAUGGAAUUUAUUAGCACCUCCAAAGAAAAGAGUAAACACAUUAUAGAAGGUUAAUCAGGAAAGAUAAUAUAAUUUUCUGGGAGAUGAGUUUUCAAUAUUUAUCACGUUCCGAGUCUACGACACAUUUUAGAUUUACCUGAAUGACUUCUAGUAAUUAUUUAUAUCUUAAUCUCACUAUCUCCUAGGAGGUGUUUUUAAUCCUAUGUUUAUAUGUAAUUGAGUUCAUCUGUUUGUAUAUUAUAUGUAUUUGAAUAUGCAACACACUUUAUUUUUCUUGUUGAUUGCUUCACUGAAUCAUUAUCCUCUCUACCUUCCCAAGGUAGGGGUAAGGCUGCCUACACACCACCCUCCCAGACCCCAAUUGUGGGAUUACACUAGAUAUGUUGUUGUUUGGUUAUUUUGCAUCACUGAAUCAUUUGUAUUCUUUCUUUCUCGUGUAUAUUUUUUGUAAAGGGAAGUAAAGAUCAAAUUAGAGUUCUGGAAGGUUGGAUCUACCUGAAAGCUAUUUUGAAACUGAGAGACAGAUGAAGGAGCUGAAAUGGGAAAGGGUAAGAUUUACAGAGAGAGCAAACAUUGGUAACUGGUGCAAAGAUCAACUAUGAAAUAAGGAAACAAAAGUUUAUCAAGUUUCUUUCACAAAGCUCAUCCUAUCUUUCAGGGCUAUAUACUUGAGUGUGUCUAGUUAGACUAUGCAUGCUAGUCAUUGAUUUUUUCGUAAUAAUUAGUGUUGUCGAUGCCAAGCAGAUAUAAAUUAAGUCAUCUCUAAGUUGAUUUAUGUAAAGCUUGAGCAUUUUUUACAAUAUAGCUUGCCAAAAGUCAUAGAAAGUAAUAUAUUGACUAUACAAUAUAGCUUACCUAUACAUGAGUUAUACACUAACUAUACAUUAUGAUACACUCAGAAAGCUGAAAAACAACUUAACUAUACAUCAAGUAUACAUAGAGUGUUCAAUCUCGAUCAAUUCUAAAUCACCUCUAAACAAUCCCAAAUUUUAGAUAUGAAAUUUGCUCGAUGAUUCGAGUCUUUUGAUAUAUAUAUUUGCUUGAAAUGAUUCACAUUUUCGAUACAUCAAUUAAAAAAAAAGGAGAAGAAGACGACAAAGAAGAAUGAUGACGAUGAAGACAGAGGAGGAGGAGGGGGGAAAGUAGGAAGGAGGAAAAGAAGCCAUUAAUGGCAAAAAUUGUUAGGAAGAAGAAGGGUAUGUCCAAUGUCCAAUUUGGCCUCUUCUUUUUUUUUUGAAAAAAAGACGAAUAACAGGCCCUUUUGUAUAAUUUCCCAAAUAAUUAUUAGUCUUGGAGUAAACAUAUGCAUAAUUGUAUUUUUUCACCCUUUGCGUCGUUUUUCAUUAAAGUCCACAUCUUAUUUGUACUUUGCAAAGCUCCAACGAACAUUAAAUGUUUGUUGCGCUUUUUGCUUUUCAUAAUACUGAGCAUAGAUGAAAGUCUAUCUCCUGUAGGCAUCAUAGUAGAUCUCCACUAAAAAAGACAAAGAACACCCUAAAUUAAUUGUGUCUACACUUAUUUAAACCUUCUAAAACAAAAAAGAGAUGUCAGACUCUUCUAUUCUACUCUCUUUAGGAAUUCAAACUAUGAGGGUGAUCCGUGCAGUUAGUCCCCUUCGUUUGUGGAGCAGGGCCUCCUUCGUCUCUUCCGAACAACAAAUAUGGUGCAAGAUAUGUUGCAUCAUAUUUGCAACAGCCUCAGGAUCAAAAUGAGGAAAAUACAACCAAAACAAACCCAACCUUCGCUUUGAUUAGAGUUUCUCCUCUUCAACUCUUGAGAAAUUUAUCUUCAAGUCUUCGAAAAGAAUCUUUGGCUUCACUCAAUUUAAUUCGAGUUCGCAAGUUAAGGGUGAAAGGAAUUUAGGAAUGAAUAGCAUGCAAAGUCCUUGCUAGGAAUUUCAAAUAACUUUCUAUAUUCCUUAAGGUUACAGGUGAAGCUUACUUCCUGUGGUAGCCCCUUGGAUCUUUGCCUCUCAAGGGUUGGGUUCUGUGGCGGACUCUUGGGUCUCCACAGACUCAUCUGGAAAAAGUGGUGGUUUGGUAUCCCCCCCUCCCCUUCAUGCGUGUAUGUGGGAGAAGUUUGUAUUAGCAUUUAGGCACUUGCCUUAUGGUUCGCAGUCCUCUUUCGCCGAGAUGCCUUUCAAAAAGAUUUUUUCCCUGGUCAAAAGAAGACCCACUAUCGUAGAUUUAGCCAAUUCGGGCAUGGAAGGGAAUUCCCCAAUAGAUUCUACAGAUUCAGCGUUUGCUUUAAAAAGCUAGAUUUCACAAACAUGUACAUUUUAAACUGUAUUCUAUCACUAUGCUCUACGUCCAAAAACAACUCCAAUUUCUUCUUUACAAACAGUCCAGUUGAUAUACAAGGAACCUGUUAUCCAUAUCUUCCUAAAUUGCAUCCUUAAUCUACUAGUAGUCUUCCUUUGGCUGCCUUGACAUAUAUUCCACUCAUUUCUUCAAUAUUUUCUCUCUCCAAAUUUCCAUACUAGGAUAUUUAACAUUAUGGCGAAAACUUCGCGACUAAAUGACUAUUUAAUACCUGGACUACUAAAUUUCCAAUUUAUCCAUGUCUCCUCUUGGAACAAAUUACUUCAGCCGAAGUUUACAUAAAUUAGAUCUUUCUUUUAAAGUAAGUUCUGCAAAAGAUCCUUCACAAGCUCCUGAUUUGUCUAGCCUAAAAAAUGUCCAAAGUUUCAGAUAUUGCCACUUGAAUACUCCAUAUACAAGGAAGCAAAUAUGUAGAUGCCAAACCUACGUGGAAGAAGAAGAUCUGUACUUAACAUUCCUGAGCUAGAAUUUAAUGUUGGGUGGAAAAACAUUGGUAACAAGAUAGGAAGAUUCAUAAAUGCUUCUCUACCAUCGACAUUCAAUUCAAGAUUGACAGACAAAGACAUCCCCUAUUCAGAGGCUGUCAGGAGCAGUAAAUGGGGUAAUAUGGAAUUUAUUAGCACCUCCAAAGAAGAAGAAUCUGGUCUGUCAAAGGAAAGAGCCAUUCACAUUGAUGAAUCUUUUGACCCAUCUUAAAACGAUGUUCUGAACAGAUGCGUGGUCUGCAAUUUCCACGAAAACUUUCUGUAGCUGCUCACACUAUAAGAUAUCAGGAAGUGGUCCUAUGGCCUCUGGAAACAAGCUCAUGGAUUAAAUACCUAUGAGAUGGGUAACCACAGUUCCCUUUUAUAAUUUGCUUCCAAAGCAGACACAGAGUAGGUUAUACUUGGUGAAUGGAAAUGGAAGAAAUCUCCAGCUCAACUCCAUUGGUGGUCACCAACAAUUGGAGCCAUCAAGCAGGAAAAGAAACUCAGCUCUGUCUGGGUUAAGUUUGUAGGACUAGCGUUGUAUUUAUGGUCGCAGAAGACCUUCAGAGCUAUUGGAGAUCAUAGUGGGGGAUGGAUGGAGAUGGAGGAAACACAACUCCGGACCCAUCUCAAAUGGGAAAGGGUCAGAAUAAAGGAGACGGUAGUGAAAUUCCGAAGAAUUAGUGACAAUAGAGAAUGGUGGAUUUUUCUUCACGAUCCAAGUAUGGGUGGAGCUGCCCAGCAACUUACUCCAUCGGAACAGAAAACAGAGGUCCCCCUUCGAACCAGAAGGUAUCGAGAAUGAUAUUUGCAGGUAAAAGGAAGAUUGUGCACAGUGACGAUAUGCCAAAAACCACUAUGGAACUCUUUAACAGUUGCAAGGGGAUUGGCAAAAGGAAUGAAGAAGACCACUGGUGGCAAAUCAUUCCAGCCUGCAUUUGGUGGGUAGUCUCUUCUUUAUUUAAUGUAAACAUGAUCUUUUGGAGGAUACAGGGGAUCUCAUAGAACUGAUAGGCAAAGUGUAAUAAAGGUAGCUGUUAGCUCUCUGUUUUAGCCCCUCCUUUGGCUCCUAUUUAUGGAUUUUGUAAUUACUCUCCAGAAUUUAAUAUAUAUACAGGUUGUUAUCUUUUUUUUAAAAAAAAAGUUAAUUUGUAGUUGCCAAACUUUACUUGUUAUUUAAAUAUUGCAGCACAAACUUGAAGCAAAUGUGUUCUCUCUCACCUGUAAUGAGGUUACUGGUUAGAAUAUGAACAUUUUCAGUUGAAAAAGGACAGUUUUACUGCAUCCUAGAAAAACCAAUUUCGUCCCUUUCUCGUGAAAUUGUUUUAGCAUCUCACUUCCUAUAUCUACAUCUUUAGACUGCUCAAAGAAAACAUCUAUAACUGGCAUACUAAAGCAAGCACAAGCUUAAAAAGUAUCCAGGGGAAAAAAUAGGAUCUCUUAUCCAUGCAGAGUUCUCACCUAACAUGAUAAAAUGCAAGUACAGUCUGCAGCUAUCAAAUGACAUCGUCAAUCAAUUAAAGCAGGAUGUAAGGACAAAGAGGAUCAAGUAAAAAAAACUCAAGCUUUUACCUAUAUCAACUUAGAGAUGACUUAAUUUAUAUCUGCUUGGCAUCAACAAACACUAAUUAUUAUGAAAAAAAUCAAUGACUAGCAUGCAUAGUCUAACUAGACACACUCAAGUAUAUAGCCCUGAAAGAUAGGAUGAGCUUUGUGAAAGAAACUUGAUAAACUCUUGUUUCCUUAUUUCAAAGUUGUUCUUUGCACUGGUCAGCAAUGUUUGCUCUCUGUGUAAAUCUUCCUCAAAUCUUACCUUUUCCCACUUCAGCUCCUUCAUCCGUAUCUCAGUUUCAAAAUAGCUUUCAGGUAGAUACGACCUUCCAGAACUCUUUGGAAAUUUGAUCUGUACUUCCCUUUACAAGAAUAAACACGAGAAAGAAAGAAUCCAAAUGAUUCAGUGAUGCAAUACAAACAAACAACAACAUAUCCAGUGUAAUCCCACAAGUGGAUCUGGGAGGGUGGAGUGUACGCAGCCAUGCCCCUACCUUGGGAAGGUAGAGAGGAUAAUGAUUCAAUGAUGCAAUCAACAAGAAAAAUAAAGUGUGCUGCCAAUUCAAAUGAAUCUAAUAUAUAAACAUACAAAAUCAAAUACAUGUAAUAUAUAAACAUAGGAAUAGGAUUGAAAACAACUCCUACGAGACAGUGAGAUUAAGAUAUAAAUAAUUACCAUAGGUCAUUCAGGUAAAUCUAAAAUUUGUCGUAGACUCGGAACGUGAUAAAUCCUGAAGACUCCUCUCCCAGAAAAUUAUAUUAUGGAUUAUCUUUCCUGAUUAACUUCUAUAAUGUGUUGAUGACUCUUUCUCUUCCCCCCCCCCCCCCACCCCUUUAGAAUAAUAUUUCAUUAAAGAUGCCAAUUAAUCAUUCUGAAAUGAAAAUGCAUUACAAACAAAUGUAACAAAAGCUACCUUGCAGAAGCUUUGCUGUAGAUGUAGAGAAAGAAAUGGAAGAACAUGCUUUCAUGCACCAUUCUAUACAGAUUGACAGAGGAAGUUCAUGAAAGGUCGAACUACUGAACUCCACAAAGGUCAAGCAACAUGGUCACAAAAUACAAGCUUCCCAGUUCAGGCGCACAGUUAGGGAUCAAGUAUAUUACUUGAUACUCAAAAAGGAACAAGUUAAUGGGCAAUCAAUUCUUUAAAGUAUCUUCACAAGCAAGUUGAACUAUAAAAGAACAAAAAUUUAUGAAUAUAAUAAACACACUAUUUAAGACAAGCCUCUUUACCUUUUGCCUAGGGAAAAUAUACCACCACUCUUUAUGAUCCCACCGUCCAAUGAUAUGGCUCCAUCAGCUAUAAAAGGUAGUGCCUGCAUCAUGUCUGCCCCUGUUUUGUAUACUUGCAACCGUGAGAAGAGUCUAUAGAAGAGGGUCUCUCUCAGGCCAUGACCAGUGCUUGUAACACAAUAUAAAUUCGCAGUGUCAAUAUUGAUCAUAUUGACAGCAAAACCAAGAAAACCAGGAGGAGUUUCCUCAUUGAGGUAUCUUGGCUUCUUUAUGGACAGCCUCCUCUGAGGGUCAUCAGCAAUAAAUUCACCAGUGUAUGGUCUAAAAUGAUAACCCAAAAAUGAAAAAGAUAAGAGAGUAAAGAAGUGCUAAAGAAUAUGAGAUGCAUUUGCAAGAAGAGAUAAUCAUAACCUCAAACCUUAAGUUCUCAAGACAGAUUACAAGAUAUCGGUCAUCCAAAGGUCUCCCAAUUGAAGCUCCAACUCCAUGAAGACCAGAACUUUUAUUUACAAGUCCCUUCUUAUCAUAUGUUUGCAGUGCUUUAAG
rnacentral:lncRNA from 1 species